rnacentral:lncRNA from 1 species
CACUGGACUUGGAAACCCUUUCUCCAGGCAGCAGAGGUUAGAGAUCCUGUCAUUGUUUCCGACUGAUUCAUCAUCGGCCUGAUGUUAAUUCACAUAGUCAGGCAUGGUAAUUUGGAGAGAGCUUCUCAACUUCCACUAACGAGGCCUUUUAAGUUCUCUCUUCUUCAAACCCCCUCCUCUGCUUUUAUCUGGCCCUCUCAGCACUUUGAUAACACAAUUAAAUCAAAUUCCACAUGUAAAAAGCAUACGGGAUGCAGGAGCCAUCAAAGUACAAGGGUGGCAGGGGGAUGGGAGAUAGACAAGUAAGGAGGUGGAUUCUGUUGCGUGGGUUGGAUGCCCUGAUGGGGCGGUGUCUAAAGGACAGUCAGAGAGAAGUUCCUUGGCUGUGUUGGGGAUCAAGAUGAAAGCAGGAGUUAGACAAAGGAACCCGAUUCAGGGAAAUGAUGAUGCCAGCCAUUCACACAGCCCCAGAAGCUCAGCAUCCCCAAGGGCACCCAGUUGCGAAGUCUGUCCUUUCCACUUCUUAAAGCCACAGGGAAGAGCCUUCCCAGAUUGAGCAGGCACCACAGCCUCUUCUAGGGCAGGAUUGCAGUUGUGAGUAAACAGGAGAGAGCGUUUCACAAGCUUCUGGGAAGCCCUGGGACCUCACGCUCGUCAUCUGCAACUAAAUUUGGCCUUCUCAUUUUCCUUGAACAGGAUACAAUGACAACCACGGCACAAAUUCUGGGAUAGGUUUAGAUAAACAAUUAGGUUGCUGAAGAUGUUUACCUGUUGUGGGUUCCAGAAUCAUCAAGGGCUGUAGGGGUGACUCAGGACAAAUUCAAUUAAGGUGUUAAGAAUAGAGAAAACCAGCAGUGUGGCUGAGUGCUCUCAUUUGCCUCUGGUACAUUUGUAAUUUUCAUUACGCUGGGCAAGCUGCAGGGGGUAAGAGUGUUUUGGCCCUCUGAGCUUUUCCAUGGUUUGGACACUGACUUCUGUGUCUGGGUAACUUUGUGUGAUGCUUCAGUAUCGCUUGUGGAAGCCAUAGAGGAUCCCCAUCAC